GACAGAGGGUGCAAACGUUGUUCGGAAUUACUGGGCGUAAAGCGCGUGUAGGCGGCCCUGCAAGUCGGAUGUGAAAUCCCACGGCUCAACCGUGGAAGUGCAUUCGAAACUGCAGGGCUAGAGUCCUGGAGAGGAAGGUGGAAUGCUUGGUGUAGAGGUGAAAUUCGUAGAUAUCAAGCGGAACACCGGUGGCGAAGGCAGCCUUCUGGACAGUGACUGACGCUGAGACGCGAAAGCCAGGGGAGCAAACGGG
rnacentral:rRNA from 1 species